ACUGGGCGUAAAGAGUUGCGUAGGCGGUUAGUUAAGUGAAUAGUGAAACCUGGUGGCUCAACCAUACAGACUAUUAUUCAAACUGGCUAACUCGAGAGUAGCAGAGGUACCUGGAAUUUCUGAAGUAGGGGUAAUAUCCGUAGAUAUCAGAAGGAACACCAAUGGCGUAGGCAGGGUACUGGGCUAUUUCUGACGCUAAGGCACGAAAGCGUGGGGAGCGAACCGGAUUAGAUACCCGGGUAGUCCACGCCGUAAACGAUGGAUACUAGCUGUAGGGGGUAUCGACCCCCUCUGUAGCGAAGCUAACGCGUUAAGUAUCCCGCCUGUGGAGUACGGUCGCAAGACUAAAACAUAAAGGAAUUGACGGGGACCCGCACAAGCGGUGGAUCAUGUUCUUUAAUUCGAUGCUAAACGAAGAACCUUACCAGGGUUUGACAUCCCGAGAAUUUUGCCGAAAGGCGAGAGUGCUUUAUUGAACUCGGUGACAGAUGAUGCAUGGCCGUCGUCAGCUCGUGUCGUGAGAUGUUUGGUUAAGUCCAUCAACGAGCGCAACCCUUGUGAUUAGUUGUAUUUUUCUAAUCAGACUGCCCCGGUAACGGGGA
rnacentral:rRNA from 1 species